rnacentral:misc_RNA from 1 species
GAUGAAGAACGUAGCGAAAUGCGAUAAGUAAUGUGAAUUGCAGAAUUCAGUGAAUCAUCGAAUCUUUGAACGCACAUUGCGCCCCCUGGUAUUCCGGGGGGCAUGCCUGUCCGAGCGUCAUUACAACCCUCAAGCUCAGCUUGGUGUUGGGCCCCGCCGCCCCGGCGGGCCCUAAAGUCAGUGGCGGUGCCGUCCGGCUCCGAGCGUAGUAAUUCUUCUCGCUCUGGAGGUCCGGUCGUGUGCUCGCCAGCAACCCCCAAUUUUUUUCAGGUUGACCUCGGAUCAGGUAGGGAUACCCGCUGAACUUAAGCAUAUCAAUAAGCGGAGG